rnacentral:rRNA from 1 species
UACAGAGGUCCCAAGCGUUGUUCGGAUUCACUGGGCGUAAAGGGUGCGUAGGUGGUGAGGUAAGUCGGAUGUGAAAUCUCCGAGCUCAACUCGGAAAUUGCAUUGGAAACUACCUUGCUUGAGGGUUGGAGGGGGGACUGGAAUGCUUGGUGUAGCAGUGAAAUGCGUAGAUAUCAAGCGGAACACCAGUGGCGAAGGCGAGUCCCUGGACAACACCUGACACUGAGGCACGAAAGCUAGGGGAGCAAACAGG